UACAACAUGACUAUAAGAGCGGGGAGAGAGGUGCAUGGAGGGUGGGAAAGGUAGGGGCUAGGGGAAGUCACAGGGUGUAGGAUGUUGGAGAUUAAGACUAGCUUUGUGAGCUUGUGCUUGGCAGAGGCUCUGUGUCCAGUGCUGGGAAUACAGAGAUGAACAACAGUCUGGGUGUGUGUGUGAGUGGCAGGGGCAAGCAUGGAAGUAGACAGAUAUCUUUUCAAUGCAGCAUGACUCUCCAAACAAAAGUUGCAUACACAAGACAUCAAUGUCAUAUGGAAGGGGGAGCGAUGGUCCUGUUUGGUAGCCAGGAAAGCCCUCACAGCUUCCCAGGUAAGGUGGUGACAUCUACUCAGUCACCAGACCUGUGGCUCCACCUCCUUUGAUCUCCUCUCUAAAUUUAAUUCUUCCCAUCUCUACUCUAGCGGUCUUAGUCCCUCCCACCCUCAUCUCUCACCAGUCCCUGCAAUAACCGGUCUUCUCCAACCCAUCUUCUACAGCAGCAAGAUCUUCCUCAAAUACAAACAUAAUCAUAGCCCCCUUCCCUCACAUCCCUCCGGUUGCCUGGGAAUAUGGUCCAAGAUCCCUUGGCAUGACUUUCAAGCCCUCUGGGAUCUCGUUUCUGCUUCCCUUUUUAGCGUUAGCCCAAACUCUUCCUCCUCUUUUUCAAUCUUCACUUGCCCCCACCAUCUAAUUUCCUGCCAUGGUAUCCCAAGUGCUCCUUGCUCUCCCUCACCUCCCAGUCUUUGCAAAGGCUGUUCCUUUUGCCUAGAAUUCCUUUCCCCACCCUUCCUCAUCUGGCUAAUUCCUUCGUGUCCUAGUUGGCAUCUCUUUCUCCCAGACCUUCCUGACCUGUCGGGUUGAGUAGGGACCCCUCCUCCAUGUUCCCACAGGCUCUGUGCUUGCUUCCCUUUAGUCUUUAACGCACUGCCUCAUGAUUUCCCGCUGGACUGUUUGUUUGCUCAGACUGAGGGCUCCUUGAGGGAGGGAUGGAGGUGUACUCAUCUCUGUAUCUGCAGAGCCCAUUCGGCACCUGGCACCUGGACGGAGAAUGGUGCUCACUGUUGUUUGCAGGAUGAAUGGAUGGGUGUUCGGUUCCGGGGCAAGGAGGCGGGGUGGGGUUGGCACAGGACUAGGGACCAGGCUGCGGCAGGGGAAUGAAUAAGCGCCUUUGGAGAAGUUUGGGUGCUGGGGCUGCAGGAACUUGGCUUUCCUCCUGGGGACUGAGUAUGAAUCCCUGAGCUCCAUCUUAGGCUGCAAAGAGGUAAAGACGGGGUUCUGCCACCUGGAGCCUUCGCCUCUCUUCCCUGCCUAGCGCCAGCCUGCGCUGUCAUAGCAACAGUCCGCCCCGGCGGCUGGGCCAACCAAUGGCAGCCGGUUCUGGUGAGGUAAUGCUCAGCUCUUGUAGCGCAUUGGCUCCUCUUUGGCUCACGUCCCGGCCCGGGCUGCGGGAAGAAAGGGCGCGGGGAGCUGUGGGACCGUCGCUGCUUGGGUCGGUUCCGUUAGUCCCUCCGCUGCUUGCGUCCCGCUCGCCCUUCCUCCCUCUCCGUCUGCCCUGAGCAUGUCUGCGUCUGCCCUUCUCAUCUUUCUGCGCGGCGUUUCUGUCACCGGUUGCCUUGGUCCUUCUCUCUGUGUUUUGUCUCCUUUAGGGUCUCGGUGGCUCCUUCACCCCCUGUCUCUGCCCUGAGUGCAUCUCCCCGUCUCUUUGCAUCUCGGCUUCCCCGUCCGUUCUCCCUCCGGUCUUGCUGGCGGAUGUCUUCUCCAAACAAGGGUGCAGUGAGAGCUCCUUGACUUGCAGCCAGAAGGUGACUCACUGCUUCAGACCGCUAGGCCGGCCUCGCCAGUUCGGGGGCACCUUCUUCCCCAGUUGUUGGAAAGCUCUGGCACCCGGGCUCAGUUCUUGAGACCGUGGUGAGGCCCUGCUGGCCUUUCUCUGAUGAACCUCAACAGAAAUUUGUCCUAGUUGACAUGUCACUCAAAGGAAAGGUGGAACGUUCUAGGCUUUGGGACCAGGGAAGGACAUAGAGAAGACUUAAGAAAGAACAGGCAUAAAUGUCAGUAAUUACAGCAGAAGGGUUUAGGCUAGGCUCCUGGAGAAACACCCAGAAAACAAGUGGGUAGGCACUAGAAUGAGUGAAUGAAGAAGGUAGUUGGACUUCUGUUCUACCCUCUACCUCUUGGUCCAUCUAUCAAGAUAACAUAUUGGUGUUGCUCAGUGCCAGACUCUGUGCCGGCUUUGGCUCAGCCCCCUGGGCUCCAGGAUUUACAGCUCAGUCAGGGAGGCAGACACAUAAGUCCUGGGUUUUGAUAGGAUUUUGGAGGAGGGAAAAACUCACUUUGCCAGAUACACGCAGGGCCCAGGCAGAGAAGCUUCAUGGAGGAGGUGAUCUGUGAGCAGUCAUCCUGAGGAAGGAACUAUUAUCCCAUUCUACAGCUGAAGAAACUGAGGGUCAGAGAAGUCCCCUGGUGCCACAGGCUAUGCUACAGACCUGCUGGCUUAAUGAGAAAUCUGCUGAAGCAGCACGGAGGCCAGGGAUUACUCCAACAGCCCAGCUACAGCAACUCCUGCUGCAGAUGCCCUGGUGCACAGAGACCAUGUGUGCAUAUGCUCAAGUGGGCACAUGGCUCCAUGCGGAUGACUGGGUGUGAGGGUGAGUUAC